GACGGAGGGUGCUAGCGUUGUUCGGAAUGACUGGGCGUAAAGGGCGCGUAGGCGGCUUGGUUAGUCGGGUGUGAAAGCCCGGGGCUCAACCCCGGAACGGCAUCCGAUACUGCCUGGCUUGAGACCGGGAGAGGAGGGUGGAAUAUCCAGUGUAGAGGUGAAAUUCGUAGAUAUUGGAUGGAACACCAGUGGCGAAAGCGGCUCUCUGGCCCGGUUCUGACGCCGAGGCGCGAAAGCGUGGGGAGCAAACAGG
rnacentral:rRNA from 1 species